CGCAAUUUCAACAAGGGCACACGGUGGAUGCCUUGACACUAAAAGACGAUGAAGGACGUUGCAGGGUGCGAUAAGUCUCGGGGAGGUCCCAAGCUACCUUUGAUCCGGGAAUUUCCGAAUGGGGAAACCCUCUGUCGUAAGACAGAAUCGUAUACUGAAUACAUAGGUAUACGAAGAAGACCUGGUGAAGUGAAACAUCUCAGUAACCAGAGGAAAAUAAAUUGAAAAGAUUCCCUUAGUAGUGGCGAGCGAAAAGGGAGCAGCCUAAACCGUAUAAAUGUUUCUGUAAUUGAUGAUUGAUCUUCGGAUUAGUUUGAAGUUUCAGAUUAAAGGACAGACCGUUGUUUAUACGGGGUAAUAAGAUGUAAACGCCGUUUUCUGUUAAGAUGGGUGAAAAAUUAACAUUCCUAGUAGAAGGUCUCUGGAAAGAGCCGCCAAAGCGGGUGAUAGCCCCUUACGCGAAAGGAGUUAAUAAUUCAUAGUUUAUAUUCUUGAGUAGGGCGGAACUCGUGAAAUUCCGUUUGAAUUUGGGCCGACUAUGGUCUAAGGCUAAAUACUUUUAGUGAUCGAUAGUGAACAAGUACCAUGAGGGAAAGGUGAAAAGCAGCCCGGUGAGGGCGAUGAAAUAGUAUCUGAAACCGUGUGCUUACAAAGAGCCGGAGCCCGCAAGGGUGACGGUAUUCCUAUUGAAGAAUGAGCCUGCGAGUGUGUGUAUGUCGUUGCUUAAGGGCCUAUGGUCCGAAGGCACAGCGAAAGCGAGUCUGAAUAGGGCGACCAAAUAAUGGCAUAUAUAUAACCCGAAACCGGGUGAGCUACCCAUGACCAGGAUGAACGACGCCGAAAGGCGUCGGGAGGUCCGAACCCACGAGCCGUGCAAAACUCGGGGAUGAGUUGUGGAUAGGAGAGAAAUUCUAAUCGAACUCGGUGAUAGCUGGUUUUCCUCGAAAUAGUUUUAGGACUAGCCUCGAGCGUUUCUACUGGUGGUAGAGCACUGGAUGAAAAUCGGGUCCUUCGGGAUACCAUUUUCAACCAAACUCCGAAUACCAGAAUGUAUAGCUCGGGAGUCAGACAGUGGGGGCUAAGCUUCAUUGUCAAAAGGGAAACAGCCCAGAUCGCCAGCUAAGGUCCCUAAAUCCAUAUUAAGUGUAAAAGGUGGUGUUAAUUCUCAUACAACCAGGAGGUUGGCUUAGAAGCAGCCAUCCUUUAAAGAAAGCGUAAUAGCUCACUGGUCAAGAGUUUUCGCGCCGAAAAUGUACCGGGGCUAAAAUAUGGUACCGAAGCUGCGAACUUCAGUGCGUGGCACUGAGAAAUGUAAAAAUAAAAUAUCAAAAAUCAAAAUUAAAGUGUUCGCUUCGCUCACCGAUUAAAUUCGGUCGCGUAGCGACUCCGCAAUUUUCCAUUUUGAUAUUUACAUUUUGAUUUUUCAGCGUCGCGCGCUGGAUUGGUAGAGGAACAUUCCUUGUGCGCUGAAGUCCUAGGCGUGAGCCGGGGUGGAGCGCAAGGAAGGGAGAAUGCAGGCAUAAGUAACAAAAAUCCGGAUGAGAAUUCCGGACGCCGAAAAUCCAAGGUUUCCUGGGCAACGAGAAUCGUCCCAGGGUUAGUCGAUCCUAAGGCCAGGCCGAAAGGCGUAACCGAUGGAAGAGCGGGUUAAUAUUCCCGCACUACUUAAGAUUUGGUCAGGGUGCGCAUUUUUGAGCUUAAAGCGUGUUUUGAAUAUAUACGUUGCGCAAGCAUGAGAUGAAGCCUUCGGGUGGAGUCAAAUUUAGGGGAUAGAAUGCCCAGAAAAGCCCAAAGCCGUUAAAUUUUAAGUAUCCGUACCGUAAACCGACACAGGUGGGUGAGGCGAGAAGCCUAAGGCGUACGAGAGAACCCUCGUUAAGGAACUUUGCAAUACAGCGGCCGUAACUUCGGGAUAAGGCCUGCCCUCUUCGGAGGGUUACAACAAAAGACGCACUGCGACUGUUUAACAAAAACACAGCUCUCUGCAAAAGCGUAAGCUGAAGUAUAGAGAGUGAUGCCUGGCCAGUGUCAGAACGUUAAGGGGAGAGGUUAUUCACCUUCGGGUGGAGAAGCUUUGAGCUGAAGCGCUGAUGAACGCCGGCAGUAACUAUAACUGUCCUAAGGUAGUGAACUCAAAAUUUGAGUUUACUAGGAUUGGGACGGUUGUAGCAAAUAUUAAACACGCAUCUUGAUCAGCAAAGUGAUCAAACAUAGCCAUUCAAAAAAGCUACCUUGCUUCGCAGUAAUGCGAAGAGUAAUCCGCUUACAGCUAAAUGCCAUUUAAUUGGCAGGGAAGCCAUUUGGCCCCAAGAGACUAUACGCUGUGCCCCGUUCGCCAACUCGCGAACGGAUGAAGAUUUAGUCCUACGCAAAAAAGGAAGCGUCGAGCGAAAUUCCUUGUCGGGCGAGUUCCGACCUGCACGAAUGGUAUAACGAUGGUGCGACUGUCUCAACGAGGGACUCGGUGAAAUUGCAAGAGAGGUGAAGAUGCCUCUUACCCGCAACUAGACGAAAAGACCCCGUGAAGCUUUACUACAACUUGAUAUUGACACAAGCUUAUUUAUGUUCAGUGUAGGUGGGAGCCGCAAGGCGACAAUGAGACACCACCCUUAACUAAUUUUGUGCCUAAUUUUCUCCCAUGAAUCUGGGAAAGAAGACAGUGUCUGGUGGGUAGUUUAACUGGGGCGGUUGCCUCCCAAAAAGUAACGGAGGCGUUUACAAAGGUCAGCUUAGGUCGGAUGGAAAUCGACCUGGACGUGCAUACGCAAAAGCUGGCUUUACUGCGAGGACAACAAUUCGAGCAGUCGCGAAAGCGGAAGUAAGUGAACCGACCAUCUCUCAUAGGAGAGUGGAAGAUCAACGAAUAAAAGCUACUCCGGGGAUAACAGGCUGAUCGCGCCCGAUAGUCCAUAUAGACGGCGCGGUUUGGCACCUCGAUGUCGGCUCAUCGCAUCCUGGAGCUGGAGAAGGUUCCAAGGGUUUGGCUGUUCGCCAAUUAAAGCGGUACGCGAGCUGGGUUCAGAACGUCGUAGACACUUGCGACCUAAUAUGGUAACAUAUUAGUAAAAUUAAGCUUAUAUCGGUGAAACCCUCCUUUCUAAAAAUUUGACCGAACGGAAAGAGGGCAAUACCGAGGGAAGAGAAUUCGUCAGUGUGAUUUUGACCAAUGAAGAAAAAGCAUAUAUUGCCGGCUUCCUCGAUGGAGACGGAAGUAUAAUGUUUCAAUUCAUCCGACGCAAAGAUUAUGUUAAUGGCUAUCAAGUUCGUGCCAGUAUUGUCUUUUAUCAAAAAGACAUUCACGUGGCGCAUCUUCGGUGGCUAAAAACAAAAUUAAAUAGCGUUGGGUAUGUACGGAUCAGAAAUGAUAAUAUGGCUGAAUAUACCAUAGUUGGUAUUCAGUUAGUACUCCAAAUUUUGGAGCAAUUAAGUCCAUAUUUAAGGUUAAAGAAAUCACAUGUGGACGUGGCCAGAAAAAUUGCUAAUCUGCUGCCGCGCUAUCAACGUUUAGAUAAAAAAUUACUGUUAAAAGUCGGUAAAUAUAUUGACCAAUUUCAGCAAUUAAAUUAUUCGAAACGUCGGCGCAAUACAACUAUGGCAGUAAGAAAAUUUUUUGAUACUCCCCGUAACGACUGAUUCCGAAAGGAUGAGAUUUAUGCGUCUAACGCAUUUAUCAUACGCUUGGCCCCUACUCCUUGAAAAAGGACAAGAGGGGCGUGAUAUAGUCUAUACCAUUAGAAAUAGUGGAUUAAAUUAAUAUAAUAUAUUAAUACAUGGAGACAGUUCGGUCUCCUAUCUGUUGCGGGCGUAGAAUGUUGAGAAGGCUCACUCCUAGUACGAGAGGACCGGAGUGGACGAACCUCUAGUGUGCCAGUUGCACCAUCAGGUGCAUCGCUGGGUAGCUAUGUUCGGCACGGAUAAACGCUGAAAGCAUCUAAGCGUGAAGCCGUCUUCAAGAUUAACAUUCGUUAUAGACCCCUGGUAGACUACCAGGUUGAUAGGCGUUAGGUGUAAGUUCCGUAAGGAAUUGAGCCGAGACGUACUAAUCGGUCGAGCGUACGAC
rfam:Candidatus Magasanikbacteria bacterium RIFOXYD2_FTLL_41_14 rifoxyd2_full_scaffold_35, whole genome shotgun sequence.